ACGACCUUACUUGAACAGGAUCUGUUCUAUAGGCUCUUACCUCUGUAUCCUUGAUUUCUAAGGAGACAGUCCCUAAACCCUGGUUGAUGAAUCAUGGCCGUGCGAUCUGAGUGUGAUUAACGGCUGCGAUUGUCUUCGGACUCUCUAAGCUGUAGAGGAUCGCUACCUAGUCUGGCUUGACCUCUCUAGGGUGGUCGCACGGUUGUCUGACAGGCU
rfam:Brassica rapa chromosome A8, whole genome shotgun sequence.